rnacentral:rRNA from 1 species
AACGAACGCUGGCGGCAGGCCUAACACAUGCAAGUCGAGCGAGACCUUCGGGUCUAGCGGCGGACGGGUUAGUAACGCGUGGGAACGUGCCCUUCUCUACGGAAUAGCCAUUGGAAACGAUGAGUAAUACCGUAUACGCCCUUCGGGGGAAAGAUUUAUCGGAGAAGGAUCGGCCCGCGUUAGAUUAGAUAGUUGGUGGGGUAACGGCCUACCAAGUCUACGAUCUAUAGCUGGUUUUAGAGGAUGAUCAGCAACACUGGGACUGAGACACGGCCCAGACUCCUACGGGAGGCAGCAGUGGGGAAUCUUAGACAAUGGGCGCAAGCCUGAUCUAGCCAUGCCGCGUGAUGAUGAAGCCUA